GUAGGUGGCAAGCGUUGUCCGGAAUUAUUGGGCGUAAAGCGCGCGCAGGCGGUCCUUUAAGUCUGAUGUGAAAGCCCACGGCUCAACCGUGGAGGGCCAUUGGAAACUGGGGGACUUGAGUACAGAAGAGGAAAGCGGAAUUCCAAGUGUAGCGGUGAAAUGCGUAGAGAUUUGGAGGAACACCAGUGGCGAAGGCGGCUUUCUGGUCUGUAACUGACGCUGAGGCGCGAAAGCGUGGGGAGCAAACAGGAUUAGAUACCCUGGUAGUCCACGCCGUAAACGAUGAGUGCUAAGUGUUAGGGGGUUUCCCGCCCCCUUAGUGCUGCAGCUAACGCAUUAAGCACUCCGCCUGGGGAGUACGGCCGCAAGGCUG
rnacentral:rRNA from 1 species